rnacentral:rRNA from 1 species
GUCCACAUGAAGUUAUAUGUGGUCUAGUCUGCCCACUGAAUAUUUAAAGGCCGCAGUAUAUUAACUGUGCGAAGGUAGCAUAAUAAUUAGUUUUUUAAUUGAAAACUUGAAUGAACGGCUGCACGAGGAAUGAACUGUUUCUAGAUUUAAUUUAAAACUUUACUUUUAAGUGAAAAGGCUUAAAUAAAUUUAAGGGACGAUAAGACCCUGUAAAUCUUUAUAAGUAAAUUUUAAAACAUUUAUAAUUAAAGUUUUGUCAAUUUAAAAUAAAACUUAUUAUGUUGGGGUGACAAGGAUAUUUAUUUUAAAUAACUAUGCUAAUUUAAAACAUAAAUUUUUGAGUACUUCUAAAAGAUCCUUAAAAUAAUAAAGAGUCAGAAAAUAAGAUACUUUAGGGAUAACAGCGUAAUUUUUUUAAAGAGUUCUUAUCGAAAAAAAAGUUUACGACCUCGAUGUUGAAUUAAAAUUUCUUGCCAGUGUAGAAGCUAGUUAAGUGAGUCUGUUCGACUUUUGAAAUUUU